GAUGAACGCUGACAGAAUGCUUAACACAUGCAAGUCGAUUCAAGUUACCUUCGGGUAAUGAGGAUGGCGGACGGGUGAGUAACGCGUAAGGAACUUGCCUCUUGGUCUGGGACAACUGUUGGAAACGACAGCUAAUACCGGAUAUUAUGAGAUUCUCGCAUGGGAAACUUAUGAAAGCUAUAUGCGCCAAGAGAGAGCCUUGCGUUCCAUUAGCUAGUUGGUGGGGUAACGGCCCACCAAGGCGACGAUGGAUAGCCGGCCUGAGAGGGUGAACGGCCACAAGGGGACUGAGACACGGCCCUUACUCCUACGGGAGGCAGCAGUGGGGAAUAUUGGACAAUGGGCCACAAGCCUGAUCCAGCAAUUCUGUGUGCACGAUGAAGGUCUUCGGAUUGUAAAGUGCUUUCAGUUGGGAAGAAGAAAGUGACGGUACCAACAGAAGAAGCGACGGCUAAAUACGUGCCAGCAGCCGCGGUAAUACGUAUGUCGCAAGCGUUAUCCGGAUUUAUUGGGCGUAAAGCGCGUCUAGGCGGAAAAAUAAGUCUGAUGUUAAAAUGCGGGGCUCAACUCCGUAUUGCGUUGGAAACUGUUUUUCUAGAGUACUGGAGAGGUGGGCGGAACUACAAGUGUAGAGGUGAAAUUCGUAGAUAUUUGUAGGAAUGCCGAUGGAGAAGUCAGCUCACUGGACAGAUACUGACGCUGAAGCGCGAAAGCGUGGGGAGNAAACAGGAUUAGAUACCCUGGUAGUCCACGCCGUAAACGAUGAUCACUAGGU
rnacentral:rRNA from 1 species